rnacentral:rRNA from 1 species
CCUACGGGUGACAGCAGUGGGGGAUAUUGCACAAUGGGGGAAACCCUGAUGCAGCGACGCCGCGUGAGUGAAGAAGCGUUUCGGCACGUAAAGCUCUAUCAGCAGGGAAGAAAAUGACGGUACCUGAAGAAGAAGCCCCGGCUAACUACGUGCCAGCAGCCGCGGUAAUACGUAGGGGGCAAGCGUUAUCCGGAUUUACUGGGUGUAAAGGGGGCGCAGACGGCGAUGCAAGUCUGGAGUGAAAGCCCGGGGCCUAACCCCGGGACUGCUCUGGAAACUGUGCGGCUGGAGUGCAGGAGGGGCAGGCGGAAUUCCUGGUGUAGCGGUGAAAUGCGUAGAUAUCAGGAGGAACACCAGUGGCGAAGGCGGUCUGCUGGACUGCAACUGACGUUGAGGCCCGAAAGCGUGGGGAGCAAACAGGAUUAGAUACCCGUGUAGUC